UCCUUGGUUCUAAUCCUCCAAACCAUUACUAUCACCCCCUAUACUACAGAGUGCUCUACCACCCAAAGACAACCAAUGGUUACUUCUAACCCUGCGUAUGAUGAAUGGCGAUGCAUCGAUCUUCUUAUUUUUGUAUGGCUUCGUCAAAUAAUUUUUGAUCCUCUUCUUGCUCAGUUAACUCGAACUACCUCUUCCUAUGAUUCUUGGACUAAAAUCGAGCGUAUGUUUCAAUCACAGACACAUGCUUGAGUUAUGCAAUUAAAAUCUCAACUUCAAAGCCUUCCUAUAUGCAAUCUUUCCAUUACAAAGUACUUCGAGAAGAAACGUGCAAUCGC
rnacentral:lncRNA from 1 species